rnacentral:sRNA from 2 species
GUUUCUGUAGGUGAACUGCGGAAGGAUCAUUGUCGAAACCUGCCAAAGCAGAACGACCCGCGAACUAGUAUAUAGCAACCACUGGGGAUGCUUGUGGUGGGUUUCAUUGCCCCCACUCUCUGUCCCUUCGCUGGGUGCGCUAUUGAAAUGCGUUCCCCGGCUAAAAACAAACCCCGACGCGAAUCGCGUCAAGGAACUGUAACAAGAGAAGCGCGGCCCCUGUGCUCGUUCGCGAGUGAAGUUACGGGGGCAGUAGCUGCAUCUUUCAUGAACAUAACGACUCUCGGCAACGGAUAUCUCGGCUCUCGCAUCGAUGAAGAACGUAGCGAAAUGCGAUACUUGGUGUGAAUUGCAGAAUCCCGUGAACCAUCGAGUCUUUGAACGCAAGUUGCGCCCGAAGCCAUUAGGCCUAGGGCACGCCUGCCUGGGCGUCUCACAUUGCAUCACCCCGCAACCUGUGCCCGCAAAGGGUUUCUUGGGUUAAUGGAGCGAAUUUUGGCCCCCCGUGUGCCCAAGUGCAUGGUCGGCCUAAAGAUGAGUCCCUGGCGAUGAACGUCACGAUAAGUGGUGGAUGUGAUAACGUUGCGUCAUGUCGUGCACGUCUUUGUCCCAACGGGUUGCUUUUGUUCUUGACCCUGAAAGCACCGUUUUCACGGAGCCUCGAUCGCGACCCCAGUCAGGCGGGAUUACCCGCUGAGUUUAA